rnacentral:rRNA from 1 species
AUUGAACGCUGGCGGCAUGCCUUACACAUGCAAGUCGAACGGUAACAGGUCUUCGGAUGCUGACGAGUGGCGAACGGGUGAGUAAUACAUCGGAACGUGCCCAGACGUGGGGGAUAACGAGGCGAAAGCUUUGCUAAUACCGCAUACGAUCUAAGGAUGAAAGCAGGGGACCGCAAGGCCUUGUGCGUUUGGAGCGGCCGACGGCAGAUUAGGUAGUUGGUGGGAUAAAAGCUUACCAAGCCGACGAUCUGUAGCUGGUCUGAGAGGACGACCAGCCACACUGGGACUGAGACACGGCCCAGACUCCUACGGGAGGCAGCAGUGGGGAAUUUUGGACAAUGGGCGAAAGCCUGAUCCAGCAAUGCCGCGUGCAGGAUGAAGGCCUUCGGGUUGUAAACUGCUUUUGUACGGAACGAAAAGGCUCUGGCUAAUACCUGGGGCACAUGACGGUACCGUAAGAAUAAGCACCGGCUAACUACGUG